CCGGCUCCUUUGCUCGCUCCUCUAGGUGCCGCUUCGACUCCUAUUCCCUCUCUGGACGGACUGUUGGGCCGAGUUCAUGGCCGGACUUCUUGCCGCCGCGCCCGUUCCCUUUGCCGACGCUUCGUUUCGUUCGCCCCCUAGAUGCCGCUCCGACUCCUAUUCCCUCUCUGGAUGGAAUGUUGGGCCGAGUUCAUGGUCGUCCUUUCUUCCGGUCGCGCCGUUCCUGUUAGCGGCACUUCGUUUCGGCUUAUUCAUUCCCCCCGGUCACGAAAAUGGCUCGGAUUCAUCCUCCGUGGUCCCUUCUUGCUGCCUAUAUAAUAUGCCUCUGUAAAAAUUUUAUUUGCAAAAAAAAAAAACCCUAUUACUCUCUUUCUGAUUUUUUCCAUCUCUGAUUUGGUAACGAGCCCUCCGCGGCCUUCGAUUUCAUCUCCGCGGCCUUCGAUUUCAUCUCCGCGGGCUUCGAUUUCAUCUAAAAAGGUGCCGCUCCGACUCCUGUUCCUUCUCUGGACGGACUGUUGGGCUGAGUUCAUGGCCGGACUUCUUGCCGUCGCGCCCGUUUCCUUUGUCGACGCUUCGUUUCGUUCGCCCCCUAGAUGCCGCUCCGACUUCUAUUCCCUCUCUGGAUGGAAUGUUGGGCCAAGUUCAUGGUCGUCCCUUCUUUCGGUCGCGCCGUUCCUGUUAGCGGCGCUUCAUUUCGGCUUAUUCAUCCCCUCCGGUUACGAAAAUGGCUCGGAUUCAUUCUCCGCGGUCCCUUCUUGCUGCCUAUAUAAUAUGCCUCUGUAAAAAUUUUAUUUGUAGCAAAAAAAACUCUAUUUCUCUGCUGGUUGGGUAUCAACUAGGAUGGCAGUUACUAAAUAAAUGCAACCAGUAAUUACCCCCAACAAGAAAUACAUAAGCUAUUGAGAACAUAUAACUAUACGUGGCACCUUUUCUCGAUGACUUCUGAAAUGAUAAAAAUAUUAUUGUUGACUAUUGAUAAUACUCAUUACAUGUCUGAGCCUAUAGUAAAAAUUGAAUUUUACUACCUGUUUAUCUUUUACGAUUUGCUCAAAUUUCUACUACUACUGCUUAUACUCCUUAUGAUGUAUAUUUUACUAUUAGUUUAGGUUUGCAUUUUUUUCCCCUUUUUUUUCUAUAUUGUUUCUUACUACAAGUUCUUAUUGAUAUUUCUCUAGCUUCUACUAAAUCUUAGGUGCUGCUUCUUCAUUUUAUUUCGCUUUAUAUCUUUCGAUUAUUGUGAUGAUGUUUUUUUUACUUUUAUAAUCAAUUUUCGAAGAUGCUGCUUCACUUGAUCUUUUGCUACUAUUGUUUCAUCUACUGCAUAUGUGGAUUGGAAAAAGACAUUGCAUAUUUACUAUUAGUUCUAAUUCAUUAAUUCUUUCUUUUGUAUACCGAAUACUUUUCAUUACCUUUCAUUUAUUUACAUAUAAUUUCUGACGAAAUCAGAUUUUCAUUAGUCAACGUGGAGGUAUUUCCUUAAUUUAGGUAGGUAUACUUUCUGAUUAAAUUCUAUUUCCUUUUCUUAUAUUUGGACUUUUGUACAACAUACCUAUCAGUUUAACUAUCUUGCUUAAUUGUGUGUUUGUAUGAGAUUUGUGUCUACUCUAUCUGCCAGCUUAACUUAUCUAUCGGCUUAACUCAUAUUUUACAAAGUAAAUUAACUAGGAUGAAAAUUGCGAAAUAAUUGCAACCAGUGUGUUCUGUAUAUUAUUUUUUUUAUUGUUGUGAUGGUGUUUUCUUACUAUUCCACUUAAAAUUAUUUGACUAUAAGUUCUGCAACUUAUAUAUUCUAAUGAAUUUUGUAAGUUGCUGCUUCACUUCAUUUUUGUAUUACUACAAUCGCAUAUUUUUGGGACAAGCAGGUUAGUAACAUUUCUUAACCAACUUUUUUUAUUAGUCAUAUUUUAUUCUUUCUUUAAUUUUUUACUGACUAUUGCCUUUUCUUUCAGCUAACUCUUGCACUCUUUCCUCGGCUUCUACAACUCUAGAUUUUAUUGUAUCUAUGGUCACUCCUGCUGCUGUUGAAUUAACUGCUUAUACUUUUAUUUGUUUGUUACUCCAAAUUUUUUAGUUUUUUUAUGUAUUUGCUAUUUCGCCUUUAACUGUAUUCCAUAUUUUAUACUUAAAAUAGUUGCUACUUUUAUUAUUGUGGUGAUAGCUUAUAUGUUAUGAGGAAUGAAAAAAAAAAAAAAAAAAUUUUUGAGAAAUAGGUAGCUCGCUACUCGCUUCAUUCAUUAGGAAUGAGAAAAAAAAUGUUAUACUACUAUUUCUACUAUUUACUUCUAAAUCUUAUGUGAGUUCAUUAUAUUUUAUACUUUGAAGUUUUUCAAGUAUGCCAGACGUUUUGUUGUUUAAA